rnacentral:tRNA from 1 species
GGGCCCGUAGCUCAGUGGUCAGAGCGGUCGGCUCAUAACCGAUUGGUCGCAGGUUCGAUCCCUGCCGGGCCCACCA